rnacentral:lncRNA from 1 species
ACUAUAGUUUCAAUAAGAAAUAAUGGGAGCAUGAACUUUGCAGAAAAGAUAAAAAUGGAAUGAAGACAGAACUCUGUGAGAGAAAGAACAUAGUAACUAUUCUAAUGAUGUUGGGAUCCUCAGUCUUCCAGAGGAUGGCAAUGGGAUUUGCUAAUACAGGAUGGGAGAGAGAAUGAUGUGUGAGUGUCUGUGAUGAAGAUGUCACACUUACAGCAGAAACUGAGAAACAGUGGAUAACUUCUGAAAUCUUUGGGUAUAAUCAUCUAUCUUGUGUGAUCUAAUGAAUUUAAGAAAGAAGUGAUUAUGCUGUUGAAAUCGUGAAGAUUUUACAGGUAACACUUCCUUUCCUUCCUUUGUUUUGAUAACAGAUGGAGAUAUUUACAAUUUUA